CCUGGUUGAUCCUGCCAGUAGUCAUAUGCUUGUCUCAAAGAUUAAGCCAUGCAUGUCCCAGUUCAGGCCUUAAUACGGUGAGACCGCGAAUGGCUCAUUAAAUCAGCUAUGGUUUAUUGGAUCGUGCCCGUUAGAUGGAUAACUGUAAUAACUCUAGAGCUAAUACAUGCCUCGAUGCCCUGACCCUGCUCGUGUUUGCCUUGCUUGCUUGCAUGUGGUGGGGGAUGGGUGCACUUAUUAGAUCAGAAGCCAGCCAACUGUGCGUGUGCGGCCCACCGCGAGGUGGACGUCGCGUGCGUUGAGACACUCACUUCUGGUGACUCUGGAUAAUUGUUACAGAUCGCAGUCGGCGUUGAGUCGGCGACGGGUCCUUCAAAUGUCUGCCCUAUCAACUUUCGAUGGUAGGUGACCUGCCUACCAUGGUGGUAACGGGUAACGGGGAAUCAGGGUUCGAUUCCGGAGAGGGAGCCUGAGAAACGGCUACCACUUCCAAGGGAGGCAGCAGGCGCGCAAAUUACCCACUCCCAGCACGGGGAGGUGGUGACGAAAAAUACCGAUGCGGCGGGACUCCUUCAAGAGGCUCCGUAAUCGGAAUGAGUGGACUCUAAACCCCUUCACGAGGAUCAAUUGGAGGGCAAGUCUGGUGCCAGCAGCCGCGGUAACUCCAGCUCCAAUAGCGUAUAUUAAAGUUGCUGCAGUUAAAAAGCUCGUAGUUGGAUCUCGGUAGCAUUGUUGCCUGUUGGUGAUUGAGCGGCCGGUGUGUGGUUAUCGGUGCGCGGUUGCCCCGGCGCCUGCAUGUUGGUGGGCCGGUCAGUAGUUGGGCUGGUGGGUUGGCGUUUGUUGCGUUAGGGUGGUUGGUUGGUUAGUUGACCAGCUGAUCUGCUCUUUGCUCGCUCGCUCGCUUGCUGGCCGAUUGGUGAGCUGGCUCGCUUGUUCGCCUGCAGCGUUGGGGGGGACUGCGCAGUCGUGGCCAUGAGCAAGCACUGUCGCGUCAAGCCAACAAGGUGGUGGUGUCGCCUUUAAGCCAUGUCUGUGGUGUAGUCGUCGCAGGUGUGGGCGGGUGUUGGGCAGUGCUCUGCACACGCUGUGGGGCCUGUCGGCUCGUCCACAUGCCUUUGGAUGCCCUUGAUUGGGUGUCUGCGGGCGGAUGGCACGUUU
rnacentral:rRNA from 1 species